CAACCACAUCCCCGGUUGAGUUGCAAAGAGGAUAUGUGCCUCGGGGUAUAGAUGAGAGAGAAUUAGUAUCAGCAAUAGAUGAUGUUCAAACUAUUGCAAAUCGUGGCCUGGAAUUGGCUCGAGCAGGUACAUAUCCCGAAGCACAGAAACAUGCAUCAAUAUAUCAGUCGAUAAUGUAGAGGCUUCACCAAGCCUUACAUCGAACUCAUGAAGACCUUCAUGAUGGACGAGAGGUAGCGCAAUUAGUAUACACAUGUCAACCACGACAAAGACGAGGACGACGCAGAAACGACAAUGAAGCUGGGCCUUCCCAACGUGUUGACGACGGAGCUGGACCGUCACAACCACAAACGCAACCGGAUCAUGAACUCAUCGAAGGUCGGGAUGGAGGAGGCCGAAGACAAAGGAGGAGGAGAAGAGUUCUUGGAUGUAUAUAAGCUAAUCGGUAUUGUUAUAUAAAUUACAAUCCUAUUUUGAUAUGUACAUUACAAACGUAUUUCAGGACAAUAGAUGGUUUUUGGAUUUGUAGCGGAGACUGUGGUGUGACUUAUUAGAUUUGUAAGUGGGUUUGUGGCGUGAUUUGUUGGAUUUGGAUUCGUAAGUUUGUGGUGUAUUUUAUGAUUUUCAGAUUUGAUAUAUGUGUUUAUACAGGGAAUUAACAUAUGAGUUUGU